rnacentral:rRNA from 1 species
GACGAACGCUGGCGGCGUGCUUAACACAUGCAAGUCGAACGGAAAGGCCCUGCUUUUGUGGGGUGCUCGAGUGGCGAACGGGUGAGUAACACGUGAGUAACCUGCCCUUGACUUUGGGAUAACUUCAGGAAACUGGGGCUAAUACCGGAUAGGAGCUCCUGCUGCAUGGUGGGGGUUGGAAAGUUUCGGCGGUUGGGGAUGGACUCGCGGCUUAUCAGCUUGUUGGUGGGGUAGUGGCUUACCAAGGCUUUGACGGGUAGCCGGCCUGGAGGGAUGACCGGCCACAUUGGGACUGAGAUACGGCCCAGACUCCUACGGGAGGCAGCAGUGGGGAAAAUUGCACAAUGGGCGGAGGCCUGAUGCAGCAACGCCGCGUGCGGGAUGACGGCCUUCGGGUUGUAAACCGCUUUCGCCUGUGACGAAGCGUGAGUGACGGUAAUGGGUAAAGAAGCACCGGCUAACUACGUG